CUUCGGAGGAGGGCGAGGCGGGCGGAACAGAGGAGCCGCGCCCCGGGGGCGGGUUCAUGGGCGCUGCCGCGCCCGCCGCACUCCGUCCCGGGGUGGCGGCCGAAGGGCCGGCGAUAGAGCGGCGGUCGAAGGGGAGUGGACGCCUGUUGAGGUUCGACUACUGGAGGAUCCACUGCAUAACCAGCUCAGGCUUUUUAAGUACCUUGUUGUUGGAGACACGAAGUGCACGCCAGCUGAGAUCAGAGUGGCACCCCUGACUAUGCCAGAGAAGCAUGACAACCGCUACCUGAUCUUGUGGGACCAGGACCAGAGGGAUCCACUCUUGAUCAUAGAGUGAGUGUUCCUCAGUUGCCAUCAGUCCAAAAACAUCACCACACCACAAGAGCUGAUGGCGAAGCUUGUAGAAAAGGGAAGAACCAGAAUCCGAGAAUUGGCCAGUUGUGACUUUGUGUGCAUUCACCUUCCGAUUGGCGAUUCAGCGGGCAAGACAAAGAGACCACCCAAAAAAAUGCAUCCCCGUAAAGCCCAGACAAUUAUUCUUCUGUGCAUGAUCGCUAUCACCGCAGUGUGGGUUGCUCCUCAACCCUGAAAGAAUGUAUGGGUUGCUUUGGCAGAAACCAUGAAACAAAAGCACAUCUGCCUCUCGACAUCAUCAACUGAAAACCCCCUGUCGACGUGUCUGGUAGGGGUCCCAGUGGAAGUUGAAAAAUUUCCCAUUUCGUUGCUAAAUCUGAAGAACAAAGUGGAUCGAUCUCCCGGAAAGGUGCAUACCAUCCUCGCUGAUUAUAAGUCCUGGCAAGUAGCAGUCCCAGUGAAACAACCUCUCAUACUGUGGAUUGAGUGGAUCAGAGCCCUUCCCAAAUCUCACCAAGAACCCCAAGAAUUUGAACUUUUAGGUUCAUCUCUUGCUACCCACUGUAUUCAUUUUGAUGUGGAACCUCCAUUUUAUUUCACGCCUCAUUACCUCAAACAGUACAAGGAAACCUUUACUGCUACAAAACGGUGCACUCAGCCCGUAUCCCCCUUCCUUCUACCCUCGAUGACUACCCUCGCUCCCUUGAUCCCGGUAUGUUUUUAAUUUGUGGAGAUAGAGCUUUUGCUGGAAUUCCCACUCGGCUUGUAGGAGGCCCUUGCACCUUCGGCCAGUUGAGCCUGUUUACACCCAACAAUACCCAAAUUGCUAAUUGGCGAAAUGCCUCACAUCCAAUUGGCAACUCCCAGAAAAUUAACCCAUUGAACAGACCAAAAGAAAUAUCAGAAGGUGCAAUGAAGCAGUCCUGCAAAAGAAGAGAUCUUAAGGAUCUCGAUGAUACUUGUGAUGCUGAGGUCACUCAUUGGUCAAAAGCCAAGAGAGUUGCUGUUUCAGUUUUUCUGCCCUGGGUGGCUGCAGCAAAAUCUCUUGGAGAAUUAGGUCACUUAGAAUGCUGGGUUGUUAAGCAAGCCAGAUUGACUUCAACUGCACUCAGUGACCUCCUACAAGACAAACAAAUAACCAGACAGGCGACCCUCCAGAAUCGUGCAGCCAUUGAUUUUCUCCUGUUGUUACAUAAUCACGAUUGCUCGGAAUUUGAGGGACUCUGUUGUAUGGACUUAACCACCAAAAAGAAGAGCAUUGACUCCACAAUCAAAGACAUGCAAGGAAUGAUCUCUAAGAUCAAACAGGAGACAGGAGACUGGGUUUCUCAGCUGUUCUCUGGGUGGGGACCUUCUGGGUGGGUCACUUCUAUUGUUUGCUCUGUUAUCUGGAUUUUUAUCAUGUUGUUUCUCAUUAUUUUUAUGCUUGGCAUGUUUAAAAGAUGUUGUUUGUCCCAAGUGUUUAAUACCCCUUCUGUUAAUGCCCUUGAUGUUGCUGUUGACCUUAUAGCCCCUGACCCUGAGGAACCUGAAAAUGAGCUCCCUGACCCAUGGUUUCAUGACUUACCCCCAAUCUGAAUAUCGCCCAGACCCUCAUUUCUAAAAAAGAAAAAAGGGGGAGAUGUGGUAUCCCCUGAAAAAUGGUUUAUUCCCCCAAACCCCAUCCAGGGUUCAGCCCCCAUGUCUGUCAAACCCAACUGUUAUCUCAUUCCACGCCCACCCCAUGUCCAUCAUCCCAGACCCACCUCCCAGUUCUGGAAUGUUCUCCUCAACUCUGUUCCCCAUUUGGCAAUAUGUUCAAAUCACACCUUUGUGUUUUCCCUGAUUGGUUCUCCCCCUAUGGGGGGAUCCCAUACCCCACCCCUGAAAGUUACUGAUUGGUUCCUGAUUUUUGUACCACCCCUCUUUAAAAAAGGCUUGCAUUCCUUUGUUCUCUGCCUUGUGGUGCUGGCCCGCUUCUGACAAUAAAGGUGCACCGGAACUGCCCUCCCUUAAGACCCCGAGUGGUCCCUUAUCAGCCCUCUGUCGCCACCCCACUUCUUUUGCACCUUAUCACAAUCCGCUCCGGGGUUUAGGAGUCUGAGAUUGUGAUAAGGGGGACUGAAUUUGACAGAUCUGUGGCAGGUGAGGUUGUCACAGUUCUUACAGUGAUGAAUGGUUUUUGGUUUUAAAAGGUAUAAGCAUGGCAUAAAAAAACCAGUGCAACUUCUCUGCAAUUAAGGGUUUGUUCAGUUUAGCUCUGAAACACACAGCUGCAGCUCAAGAGUAAUAUUUGUCUACUUAAUUGGGUAGCACAGUAUCUGUCCUGGCCAUUAGCAGAUGGGUGGUUAUACUGUUAACAACAUGCAUGGUAACAACAUGCUUUAGACAACUAAAACAUUGAUAGACAAUUCAAUGUGUGGCACAGCUGUGUGGGAAAUACUGUCUCAGGCGAGUAAAUUUUUACAUAGCUAAAAUACAUCUGAUGUUCAUACAGGAUUGCUACUGGCUAUUCUUACAGCCUUUUUUACAAUUUACUGUGCUUCCAGUUGGUUGGUGGAUACCCUUACAGCCAUCUCCCUUUCCCUCCCUGUCCACCUGACAAACUCAUUUCAAGAAACUUUUUCUUAUCUACAGAUGAGAGGAAAUUAAUGUUGAGAAGAGAGAUGGAUGCAGAUGUCAGAGGAUGCCCUCUAUUUCCUCUUGAGAUAAUUCAGACAAACCCCUUCUCAGAUACUUUCUGUGGAGGAGAGCCCAGAAGAGGAUGCUGAGCAGCUACUGUAUUAUAGCUCUGAAGUUUUUAUAAAGAAGUGGGAGAAGAAAGCCCUUUGAUCAUUAAAAGGUAUAUGAGCUACUGGGUUGGUGCUUGAUUUUUUUUUUUUUUUCCCUUAGGUAAUUCCUUUGGUGAUAAUAUCUAACUGGUAUAGUGAGCCACAAAAGUAGAAUCUGUAUUUUCCUUUUGGAUAACAGGACCAAAAUUUUCCCCAGAGCCAGAACAAACUUUCAUGGACUAGUGGCUCAAGAACUUGAAAGGACACAGACUGAGAUCUUGGAUCAUUACACUUUGAAUGCAGGGAAUCAUGUAAAUUACAGUAUUUGCAAAUAAUGAGUCAUUGGAAAAAAACCUAAUUGUCAAUCCUAGAGCAAGCAUGUGAAGUGCCUCCUCUAUCAGAUUGUUAUAAUGAUGGAACUGGAAGGUGUGGGGGACAUUUAUACUCAAUUUUGAGAGAUAAUAGAUUUCCAAAUGUGAAAAGAGUCCCAUCUUCCUUAAAACCCACACUAGAAGAAACCUUGUUUUCUAUUCACAGUUCUAGAGGUGUUUCUGAAAACUUGCUGGCCUUUGGGAGGAAGGAUUUCACUGAACUUAUGCUCAAUGUAGUGCUUCCAGGAAUCUAAAUGGUUGUCUAAGCAAAGUUCUGAGUUUUAGAUAAUGAAAGGGCAGUGUAUGUCAGCCUGCUGACAGUCCCCAUGUAAAUGUAGAUUGACAGUUCACAAGAUUUUGAAGGCACAUAUAGUGAGGUAGCUGUUUAGUAUGAGUUUGGUUACAAAUGCUUUCCAGAGGAAUUGUGAAAUGUUUUCAGAGAUGUGCUGCAUGUAGAUAAAAAUGUGAAAAUGCAGUCUAGGAGCUUGAGUUAUAUCCAUAUUUAUUCAUCUGGCUAUAUCUAAAAUAUAGCCACAAUUGCUUUUGGACAAAGUCCCUUAGCAAGAUACUGAGUUUGAAGUUCAAUACACUGAUUAUUGCAGCUUUCAUUUUAUGCUUUAUUACAUGUCAGUAGAUGAAGUUAAUGUAAAAAUGUUGCCUUCAUUACAUAAGAUCUUACCCAUGUUUGUAACUUUUGCUCUAAUAAAUAGUAAUAAAAAAGAAUAAUUGUAAUUGUUCAUGGUAGAUAGGUUUUCCCCCAGUCUUCAAUACUGGUGAUUCCUUACAGGCUUCUAACCAGGUUUUAUCAGUCUUUCCGUUCAUAUGUUCAGAUGCUGAGUGCCUUUUUAGGAUCAUGAAUGACAAAUGGUUGCUACUCAAAGUACUGUUAAUCUAUUACUUUUAUCUAAAAAGAUGUUAUUUUCUUGACAGAAAUAUUUUCUGACUAUUUUGGAGAGCAUUUAUGCCCCUCUUAAGUCUUCCCUUUAGUAUUUUAUACAGUUACAAUGAAGAGGGACUAUUGUAUUUGUUGACUGUGUAAAAUGCUUUCAGUUGCACUGAUGUGACAUACCAAGGGUGUUUUUUCUCUGUGCAAUAUUUGCAGAUUAAAGAUAACAAAACUUCCCCCUCUGUCAAUAUAUAGACAGUUUUGUGUCCAUGAGUACCCAUUUCCUAUGAGACAAGCCUUUUGGUGACAGAUGAGGAAGUAUUUCUUUUUGUUAAUCUGGGGAGAAGGAACUAAAGAUUUCCUUCAGUGUAAAUUUCCAG